GGUGCUCUGGCGGUGGUGCCUUGUCACAUGAUACAGAAUGACUCUCGGCAACGGAUAUCUAGGCUCUUGCAUCGAUGAAGAACGUAGCGAAAUGCGAUACUU
rnacentral:rRNA from 1 species